UUCCGGAGACACGCAGUUUUUUAACUUUAAAAGUUUUUACUCAGUUUCAGAGUUAUUUACUCCUAGGGUGUUUUCAAAGUUUAGUUAUUUUCUUUUACAGUCCAGCACUAUUGCUGCAAGACAAACGGAUUGUACCAGUGGAUACAGUACAAUCUAAGUUUUGAUAGAAUUUGUCCCAAGUAACACAGCAGGCACAGCAAUGGUAAAUGCCAUAAAGCAAUUCCUUUAGCCAAAGGAAGGCCUUGACAACUUAACAUCUAUUGAAAGGUUGGGGAUUGAGGAUUUCAAGUUUCAUUUUUUCUUUACAUCCUUUUGAAAAGUUCUAACCACCCUUGAAGAAGUCUUCCCCAGCACGCCAAAUUGAGCAGACAAUAGUGAAGAAGAUAGAGACGGUGGAAGAAGGAUAUGGUUGGUAGUUUCCAACACAUGAUAUGGCUCAAGCAUUUCAUUACUUUGACCCUGAACAUAUGAAUACUCCUCCAUGUUUUCUAAAGUCAAGUGAAAUAAUAUCAUUAAGCCAAAAUUGAAUUUUACAUUACUUCUGAACAGGUUCCAACUCAGUUUAGGAAGCGGGUACUUCACAAUAUGACCCAGCAAUCUUUCCUUGGGAUCUUCCAGUGCUGGGAAUUUGUUUUGCUGUUAUGCAUACAAUUACUCAACAAGGAAUUAGACAACCAAUUCUGUUUUAUUCAAAUUAUUUCACAGCUGUAUCUAACAUGUCAGAAAUAACAAUUAUUUUUUUUUUGUUCUUCUGUUAAGGUGGUACGGUGGAGAGAAAAGAUGUUCGCGAAGAUGGCCAAUUCGAGAUCUAAGAAGAAACGGAGUUCCCAUUGUUUAAAGGCUUAGAGACUCGGCAAAUGGUAUUGCUGACUCAUGGUGAUAGCGUCGAUAAGGUUGCAGAAGGGUUUCGUUGCGUCGCACUAUCUUCGCGUCGUAUUAUUUCCGCCAUUGCUGAUGCUGAAAGCCCUAUUAAAGGAGUCCAGUUCCAUCCUGAAGUUGAUUUGACUGAAAACGGACGAAAAAUGUUGCAUAACUUCUUGUUCGACAUCUGUGGAUUGCAAAGGAGGUUUCACAUUGGAGAAACGCGAGCAGAAGUUUUUGAUCACGUCUGGCCUAAGGUCGGACGUGAUAAAAUCGUGCUCAUGCUGGUAAGCGGCGAAGUCGAUUCCACAGUUGGUGCUGCCCUUCUCCAUAAAGCACUUCUGCAGGGUGACGACUUGUCGUGAGUGCACGCCAUCCAUACCGAUGACGGUUUCCUGGGUGAAGAUGAGUCCGAGCAGGUAGUUUACAGCAACUCGGGCGUAAUCUUCGGGUAAUUUGAGAUACGUUUCUGGACCGUUCAGACUCUUAUGAUUGGCCAAAAUGUGAUACGAGAUUGAUUGAUACGUCUUCCUGUCACAUUUCAAAUUCUACGGUUGUUAAAGCAAGUUUGAGUUUCUACGAUGCUUCCACCAACGUGCAUGGUUGCCAACUUUGUCGUUGUGUUGGGCUGCUAAUCUGGAAGAAAAACGUCGAAUUAUUGGCGAUACGUUUGUCAAAGUGGCAGAUAGAACGGCUAACGAUUUAAAUCUCACUUGGGAAAAUCUACUUUUCAGACAAGAUACUUUUAUGCCUGAUUUAAUUGAGACCUCUUCGUAUAUGCCUUCUUGGCACGCUGAUGCCACAAAGACUCGUCAUAAUGAUUCCGAAAUGGUUCGUCAAUUGUGCAUUCACUGUCGUGUAAUGGAACCUCCAGAAGACUUCUAUAAAGAUGAAGUAAGAGCCUUAGGUUGCGAGCUGGGUCCUCCUGCAGAAAAACUGGAACGUCACCCGUUUCCUGGUUCCGGUUUGUCAAUUCAAAUCAUUUACGCCGAAGAACCUUUCUUGGAAGCUGAUUUCGAUGAGACCAAGUGCUGAUUCGUUUGAUGGUUUAUUAUGCCAACAUGGUCCAACGCAGCCAAGGAACAAUUGCGACGUCGGAAGAAGAGCGUCUUUUUCUGGAAGAACUGUCCAGUCACAACCAGUAUGUUAGCACGCUACUGCCUAUUCGCACUGUCGGUGUUCAGGUACAGGAGGUUGCAGAAAAAUGUGGUGGGUAUGGCAAGCAAAGCAUAGGGAAAACCGCCACAUUUUUCUGUAAUAUACUGUACAAUAGAUUCGCAAUUUAGACGUUUUCGUAAUAAUGCCGCGAUCGUAAUCAUCUCUUAUUCAAGGGAGACGAUAGGUGCCACCGUGUCUACGCCAAGGGUACUUGUGAUCAUGGCCAAUGGCCAAUGGCUUGAGCCGGAUACCAACGACUAUGGCUCUUGCCGCCCUUCGCCUUCCCCAGAAAGCAAAUGCGUCGGUCGCUACAUCUAUUGGAAGGCAACACCAAAUUCUGAAGGUGGCUGUUAUAAAUCGUUCACACGUGGGCCUUGCAAGCGAAGUACCUAUUUCCUCGUUGAAGAAUAGGGCACUCGAGGAGGUAGAUGUGUUUCUCAAUUACGAUCAUUCUAUGAAUCAUGUCUUUACGCCACGCUAUCCCAUGAUGAGAAACCCUUGCAACGUGAUGUACUCCAACAACACGAUGAGCCCAUAGUCGAAAUUUGGCACCUAUCUGCCGUUUGGCAUGCAGGAAGAAUAGCGGAGACGACUAUGAUAAAACGAAAUCAAAGUGGGUUUAUCACAACCACUUUGAAUUUGAAUUACUCGUCAACUAUAAUUCGAAUCAAAAUGAACUUGAUUUUUAAUUUGUCA